CAAAGAAAUCACCACGACAUGAGCGUCGAAUCUUCAAGCCAGAACGAAACGACGUAGGAAUUUUUCUUUUCAACCACGGUUACCUUUUUACUUCUGUGUCUUCAAAAGCGUUUCUUCAGGCAUGAUUAAGAGACUGAUUUGCGUGGCACUUGUAUUUGCGUGCACAACGUACGCCAAUGCCACAUCCGACAAAGAACCAUCAGAGUGCGAACGAGUGAUGAAGGCAGCCCAUACCUGCUCAGACGAGUCCCCUUACCACCUACCAGAAGGGUUUUUCGAUAGGGU